GUUGGUCGUCGUGGCGUCAUCACUCUGGUUAUGUAUCACUCUGCUUCAUGCCAUGUUUACCGUUUCAUGCCAUUUCAUAGUUCAUGCUGCUCUGCUCUUUUCUUUCCAAGCCACUUGCUCUUCCUCCUGUCUGAUGUCUUUUCAGGCUGUAUAGCUCGGUUGGGGGCAGCACGAUGGCAGAGGGGUUAGUCCAGGGGUCACCAACGCUGUGUCCGACGGCACCAGAGUAUUUCGUCUGAUCGUGUACCUCCAGCUGUCUUGUCCAAGUCGAUAAGUAUUGCCUUGUUUUAUUCUUUGCUUUCUUUGUACCCUCUGAAGAAAAGUGAUUUUGAUUUGCUGAAGAUCAGGUUUUUUUGAGCUAGUUUCAUAGUGCUCUGCCUUCUUUUUUCCCUCCUCUUGGAGUGCUUUAAUUUGUAGUUUUCUUAGCCCUAUGUAGUUCUGUUUAUAGCUUUUUGUCUCUUCUUCGUGACCAAUUUUCUUGUGGUGCAGUUAAUCGUAGAUUGUUGUUUUUUGAUUAUUAGAUCCGCUUUUUUUCUCCCUCGGGAGAGAUUUUCCGUUUAUUAACAGUUUCCGUUUUUACUCUAGUGUUCAAGUCAAGAGUUCAUAGCCAUUUGUUUAUUCACUCUAUCUGAAAAGAGUUCUCAGAAACUGUUGAAUAAACAGCCUGCGCCAAUCAUUUCCCGUCUGCAACUGAGUCCUGAUUCUUGUCCAAGCCUAACAUAUGAGAAAAUGGAGAAAAUGAUCAAACCAAAAAUCGGGGGGAAAUAUGGAAG